GCUAGCGUCAGACCCACAGAGGCGGAGGGAGGGGAGCUUUUUUCCUAGACAACAGCCGAUGAAAGGUCCUACCUCCCGGGACCGGGACUGGGGCAAUGGGUCCCCUGGCCUGAAGGCUCAGGACGGCUAUAGGGCCUUGUGUUGGAGGUGUCACCACCACUGAGGUGGAUUCGCCCUGGGUUCCUGCUGGUGAGAUCCCCCCACACCUGUCAUCUCCAGGUAAUCCCUAGUGCUCCGAGGAGUCCUGGAGGAUCUCAGAAUGGGCCCCUCGGUGGCCCUGUGUCAGCGUCUUGGUGAGCUACUCUAUAUCUGCAUUGGUGCUCACCCUUUUCCACUGAGUCUGCACCUCGUGCGAUGUGGUCGAGAACAAUAUGGCUUGGCAUGAGUGGACAAGACGUGGACCCCACACUGAAGGACCCUGUAGUCACGGAUCGACGAAGCUCAGAGAGUCCCAGGCCGCCGUCUGUCUGCCAAUCUGAGCCCAGCUACGCAUCACUGCCGCACAGAGAGGCAAAUGACCACCGUCUUGUUGUGGAAUCAGUGCGGCUGUGCCGCGUCUCUGCAACUAGCCAACGCAAAUGAAGGGCCCACGAUGCCUUGUCUUUAGUAGCACGCCGGCUGACGGACGAGAAACGGCUCCCUACAAACAAAGAGAAACAAAUUCUGGCAUUUGAAUUGCAGAGCUCGACUUUAACCAUUCACUGUCCGGUCGUGCACAGGUGAGUUAUCAGUUAAGGGGUUGGGAACAAUUCCUAUAGCGUCUGUGACGGGGGCGAGGGCCUCUUGAGUCAGGCCUUAGGGGAUUUAGGGGUCCCUGAGAGUGGCAAGAGUACUCGUGUGAUUGCUGUGUGGAAUUUUCCGAAAUAAAUCACACACGGGCAGCCAAGAACAGAUGAGCCUAUGAGUGCUUUGAGUGUUUUUGGUUUGUUUAAAAACCCUGCGUAUCCCUUUGAUCAAGUACCAUCUGAGCUGAUAUUCACUGUAGACACUGUAACUCGGCACUAUCACUGUUUGUGCUCAGUAUGUAUCUUUUAUUGGAUCCGUUUUCUUCCCCUGUGUGUGCUCUUCAUAUUGGGUUAUCACAUUACGUGGUGUACAGUAUGUGGUGUUCUGCCUGGUGUGAGCUUGCGUGUGUGCUUGCGUGUGCGUUUGCGUGUGUGUUUGCAUGCUGACAGGCGGUGCACAUGGGAGCAGUGCAGUCUUGUUUGCAUUGCAGCUGGAUGGGAGCCUGGUCUGGAUGCAAAGUCCAGUGGACGGUUGACUGGCUCCCAGCCUGGCCCGGUUUACAUAACUGAAGAACUGUGCGUCCCAGAACCCGCCGCCGCCGCCGCCGCCGCCGCCGCCGCCGCCGCCGUUAAUUCACCGACCGGGAGAGUUUUCCUGGGAUGGAAAAAUAUAGAGAUGGACAAUUAUCAAAACGGCUAUGUUAGAAUUUAUUACCAAGAAUCACUUGGAUGUUCUGAUCACACUGAGAUAACAAUCUGUCUCUUUCUGCUUAGCUGGAGGCUUUAAAUAUCUGCUUCAACCUGUCAACACCUAAUAUAAAACUAAACAAAAACGUAUCAUUAAUCUUGAUUCAGAAUUCCAACUUAUCUCUGUCGUAACUAUAUAUAAUUUUCUUUGCUGUUUUUAUGCUUUGUGGAUAGACAGUGGAUAAAGAAUGGUUUUGCUGAAGUAGCCCAUAAUUUGUACAGGACAUGUGCCCCUAAGACACCAUCCUGGACAGCUGGACCACCCUAGGCCGAGGCAAUAAUGAUUUCUGUCACAUAUUUGUUUUAUUGAACAUGAAAACAAGAAAUACAGGAAUUUUAGUCAAAAUGUUAUUUGUUUUGAUUUGUGGUUAAACAACAGAAGAAAAAAACUAAUGCGAUAUUCUUUAAGAAAAAAAGACAGAACAGAAGAGGGGGUUCAAUUACUCUCUUAACCCAGAAACACAAACAAGGGUUUUCUAGCUAUCGUAGCUGGAAUGACAUUUGUACAUACGGUAUCUUCGGAAAGUAUCCAGACGCCUUCACAUAUUCAAAAUGUUUUAUGUUAGACUUAAUAUAUAAUUGAUCUCAUGUAAAUAAGUAUCCAGACCCUUUGCCAUGACACACCAAAUUGAGGGAAAUAUCUCAUGUACAUGGUACCACACCUUCCAUACAUUUAGGAUAUAUUCAUUUAUUUUAGGAUAGAUUUGAAAUAUAAACAUUUCCUAUGACACUCCAAAAAAUUUAAUAUCUCAUGAACAUAAGUAGUCCGUGCCUUUCACAUGACACUCCAAAUUGAGCUCAGAUGUAUGCUGUGUCCUUUGAUCAUCCUUGAGAUGUCUUUAGAAUUUGAUCGGAGUCCCCCUGUGGGGGACAUCAUUUAGAAAGGCACAUGCAUGUCCUCCCUUGACAGUACAUUUCAAAGCAAAAAACAAGCUGUGAGGUCCGAGGAGCUCUCCCUAGACAUCUGAGAUGGUUGUGUCGAGGCAUACUGUAGGUUAGAAAACUAUUGCUGAAUCAUUUAAGGUUCCCAGGAGCACAGUGGGCUCCAUGAUUGUGAAAUGAAAGGACUGGCCAAAUCCUGCUGCUUAAAGCAGGUAGGGGCAUACCCAAGACGACUAUGCUGUUAUCACUGCCAAAGGCGCUUCUACAAAGAACUGAACCAAGGGUCUGAAUACUUAAUCAAUCAAUCAA